CGUAGUCGAUGGGAAACAGGUUAAUAUUCCUGUACUUGGUAUUACUGCGAAGGGGGGACGGAGAAGGCUAUGUUGGCCGGGCGACGGUUGUCCCGGUUUAAGCGUGUAGGCUGGUUUUCCAGGCAAAUCCGGAAAAUCAAGGCUGAGGCGUGAUGACGAGGCACUACGGUGCUGAAGCAACAAAUGCCCUGCUUCCAGGAAAAGCCUCUAAGCAUCAGGUAACAUCAAAUCGUACCCCAAACCGACACAGGUGGUCAGGUAGAGAAUACCAAGGCGCUUGAGAGAACUCGGGUGAAGGAACUAGGCAAAAUGGUGCCGUAACUUCGGGAGAAGGCACGCUGAUAUGUAGGUGAAGUCCCUUGCGGAUGGAGCUGAAAUCAGUCGAAGAUACCAGCUGGCUGCAACUGUUUAUUAAAAACACAGCACUGUGCAAACACGAAAGUGGACGUAUACGGUGUGACGCCUGCCCGGUGCCGGAAGGUUAAUUGAUGGGGUCAGCGCAAGCGAAGCUCUUGAUCGAAGCCCCGGUAAACGGCGGCCGUAACUAUAACGGUCCUAAGGUAGCGAAAUUCCUUGUCGGGUAAGUUCCGACCUGCACGAAUGGCGUAAUGAUGGCCAGGCUGUCUCCACCCGAGACUCAGUGAAAUUGAACUCGCUGUGAAGAUGCAGUGUACCCGCGGCAAGACGGAAAGACCCCGUGAACCUUUACUAUAGCUUGACACUGAACAUUGAGCCUUGAUGUGUAGGAUAGGUGGGAGGCUUUGAAGUGUGGACGCCAGUCUGCAUGGAGCCGGCCUUGAAAUACCACCCUUUAAUGUUUGAUGUUCUAACGUGGACCCGUGAUCCGGGUUGCGGACAGUGUCUGGUGGGUAGUUUGACUGGGGCGGUCUCCUCCUAAAGAGUAACGGAGGAGCACGAAGGUUGGCUAAUCCUGGUCGGACAUCAGGAGGUUAGUGCAAUGGCAUAAGCCAGCUUGACUGCGAGCGUGACGGCGCGAGCAGGUGCGAAAGCAGGUCAUAGUGAUCCGGUGGUUCUGAAUGGAAGGGCCAUCGCUCAACGGAUAAAAGGUACUCCGGGGAUAACAGGCUGAUACCGCCCAAGAGUUCAUAUCGACGGCGGUGUUUGGCACCUCGAUGUCGGCUCAUCACAUCCUGGGGCUGAAGUAGGUCCCAAGGGUAUGGCUGUUCGCCAUUUAAAGUGGUACGCGAGCUGGGUUUAGAACGUCGUGAGACAGUUCGGUCCCUAUCUGCCGUGGGCGCUGGAGAACUGAGGGGGGCUGCUCCUAGUACGAGAGGACCGGAGUGGACGCAUCACUGGUGUUCGGGUUGUCAUGCCAAUGGCACUGCCCGGUAGCUAAAUGCGGAAGAGAUAAGUGCUGAAAGCAUCUAAGCACGAAACUUGCCCCGAGAUGAGUUCUCCCUGACCCUUUAAGGGUCCUGAAGGAACGUUGAAGACGACGACGUUGAUAGGCCGGGUGUGUAAGCGCAGCGAUGCGUUGAGCUAACCGGUACUAAUGAACCGUGAGG
rnacentral:rRNA from 1 species